CUCCUCCGUCUCGUGCUGUCCAGCGCUCUCCCCGCCGUAACUACAGUGGAUUUGUCUGAUUCCACCUGCAGUUCUCUAUCUACAACAGCUUUCCCGUUGCAGUGUAAUGGCAGGUUGGGCUGCUGCUUCCUCCGGGCUGACGGAGACAGAUUAUGAACAUACACUCAGCCCUGCAGGCAACUAAACCUCUACCAGUCCUGCUGUAACUCCAGAUCCAAGAUCACCGUCAAACAGCUGAGCAGCCAGCAGUGAUAAUGGACCCAAACCUCAACAACAAGAGAAAAAAGAGUCCUGGACCGGUUUACCUGAGGCUCCUUCACUCUAGAUUCUGCUAAGCCUUCUAUCCACAAAGUCAUUUCAUGGCUGGGAUUCGGCGCUUCCUGAUCACUUGCUGACAAAUGUUUGCUGAAACCGUCCGCCUAAAGGAGCAUUGAAAAGACAAAAAAAAGCAACCUUGGCUGCAGACUGCGAGCAGUUUGUGUGUCUGUGGUUAGGUCUGUAAUCAUGGGGAAAGAACAGGAUCUGCUGGUUGCAGUGAAGAGUGGAGAUCUUCUGCUGGCGCACAAACUUCUCUCCAAAGUCAAGUGCAACAAAACAAUGUAACUGUGAAAUGAAGCACAGAAAUUGCCCAGUUGACUUUCUGGAGCUAAAUAAAAGUUGGACCUUCACCAGGCAAACGCAGCAGCUGGUUACAAAGUAGAGUUCAAUAAGGUAUGCGUUUAUGGCUCAUCUUUUUACCACCUGCACACAAAGAGCGUUAAACAAAGAUAAAUGAACAGCAAAUGGCAUUUGCCCGUGUAUUUCUCUCUUAGUCUCCCUCUACCAUACUCACUCCCACACGCGUGCACACGAUGCUUUCAACCCCGCUGAUCCUCGAGGACCCUAGCAGGACCUUGUCAGCAUAGUCAUUUGUCACUUCAGUCAGAGCCUGCAGUGUCUGACAGCAGCGCAGCAGAUGCUGUUGCUGGCUGUGAGGACUCCGCACAUGACCUCCACUGUCUCCAAUUUACAGAACGGCCAUGUCAAU